rnacentral:rRNA from 1 species
CCUACGGGAGACAGCAGUGAGGAAUAUUGGUCAAUGGACGAGAGUCUGAACCAGCCAAGUAGCGUGAAGGAUGACUGCCCUAUGGGUUGUAAACUUCUUUUAUAUGGGAAUAAAAUGUUCCACGUGUGGGAUUUUGUAUGUACCAUAUGAAUAAGGAUCGGCUAACUCCGUGCCAGCAGCCGCGGUAAUACGGAGGAUCCGAGCGUUAUCCGGAUUUAUUGGGUUUAAAGGGAGCGUAGGUGGAUUGUUAAGUCAGUUGUGAAAGUUUGCGGCUCAACCGUAAAAUUGCAGUUGAAACUGGCAGUCUUGAGUACAGUAGAGGUGGGCGGAAUUCGUGGUGUGGCGGUGAAAUGCUUAGAUAUCACGAAGAACUCCGAUUGCGAAGGCAGUUCACUGGACUGCAACUGACACUGAGGCUCGAAAGUGUGGGUAUCAAACAGGAUUAGAUACCCUUGUAGUC